rnacentral:rRNA from 1 species
GAUGAACGCUGGCGGCGUGCCUAAUACAUGCAAGUCGAGCGAACGGACGAGAAGCUUGCUUCUCUGAUGUUAGCGGCGGACGGGUGAGUAACACGUGGAUAACCUACCUAUAAGACUGGGAUAACUUCGGGAAACCGUAGCUAAUACCGGCUAAUAUUUUGAACCGCAUGGUUCAAAAGUGAAAGACGGUCUUGCUGUCACUUAUAGAUGGAUCCGCGCUGCAUUAGCUAGUUGGUAAGGUAACGGCUUACCAAGGCAACGAUGCAUAGCCGACCUGAGAGGGUGAGCGGCCACACUGGAACUGAGACACGGUCCAGACUCCUACGGGAGGCAGCAGUGGGGAAUCUUCCGCAAUGGGCGAAAGCCUGACGGAGCAACGCCGCGUGAGUGAUGAAGGUCUUCGGAUCGUAAAACUCUGUUAUUAGGGAAGAACAUAUGUGUAAGUAACUGUGCACAUCUUGACGGUACCUAAUCAGAAAGCCACGGCUAACUACGUG